GAGGACCAUUCAGACAAUCCAGGUCUCUUCUGAGAAUUGACCUAGGAUUUGGAAUUGUCUCUUGUUCUUGAUACGGGACAGUAAGGAUGAAAUCCCUGAAGUUGUUUUUAAUGGGACAGAAGAUUCAUAAAAUGGUCACAGGCAGAGGUGGAACCAGCUAGAGGUCUGGCU